GACGCCACAGCUGGACAGCUCCUCAAGCAGAUACUGAGGGCGGAAAAGGACGGGAAGAUUUCCACUACAGCUGAUUCUGACGAUGAAGACAUUGAGGGAAGGGCAGUGGAUCUAGUGUUCGGUGACAACUUACCAGCAGACAUUAGAGCCCUAAAAGUUUUGGAUGGUUCCCCUGGAUCCAGUAUCUCCUUAGAUACAGACAACAGUGAUCCUGGGGACCCUAUACAUGAUGAGAGCCUACUGAGGGACCUGUUCUACACAGGAGUGGCCCCCAGUGAGAGCAGCCUGAGUGACUUCUCUACUGAUGAAGAGGACAUCUCUCUACAUAGACAGGAUGACCAGCAAUCAAACAAGUCAGAAAAGAGGAGGAAAUCCCUGGAAGAUCCCGGA